AACGAACGCUGGCGGCAGGCUUAACACAUGCAAGUCGAGCGCCCCGCAAGGGGAGCGGCAGACGGGUGAGUAACGCGUGGGAAUCCACCCAUCUCUACGGAAUAACGCAUGGAAACGUGUGCUAAUACCGUAUACGUCCUUCGGGAGAAAGAUUUAUCGGAGAUGGAUGAGCCCGCGUUGGUUUAGCUAGUUGGUGGGGUAAAGGCCUACCAAGGCGACGAUCCAUAGCUGGUCGGAGAGGAUGAUCAGCCACACUGGGACCGAGACACGGCCCAGACUCCUACGGGAGGCAGCAGUGGGGAAUAUUGGACAAUGGGCGCAAGCCUGAUCCAGCCAUGCCGCGUGAGUGAUGAAGGCCCUAGGGUUGUAAAGCUCUUUCACCGGUGAAGAUAAUGACGGUAACCGGAGAAGAAGCCCCGGCUAACUUCGUGCCAGCAGCCGCCGUAAAAC
rnacentral:rRNA from 1 species